UAAGUGUCAAUGAAAUGUUAAUCAAUUUGUUUUCUGUUCCAGGUAAUUAUAAACAUCGAUUAAUGAAGACAAAGAUUGCAUUCUAUCAUUCGAUUUUUAAUCGAGGUCGUGGUAACUAACUCGAGCACUUGUAACCAGCGUGAAUGAAACCAUUACAUCAAUAUCAAUACCAUAAGUCUAUUAAGUAAAAAUGGCUUCUAACAUUGAGAGAAAACAUGACUUCAAUAAUACAUAUACCUACCAUCCCUAACUCUGACAACUAUCUACUGAAAACUGCAUUAAAAUCGGUGCCGAUAAUAGAGAAACUCCUUAUUUUAAGUCGGUUAAACACGCUUUAAGGUAAAGUAACAAGAAUUUUGAUACCGUUAAGUGAGUAAUUAUUGCUAACUUUACAGAUUUUUUUGUAUAAUUUAAUAGAACUUCUAUAAAUAAUAGAAGGAUAGAUUAUUCUUUAUCGUAAAACCAA